CGGCAACAGCUCAAAUUUGAAAUCUGGCUUCCUUGGGAGUCCGAGUUGUAAUUUGCAGAGGGCGCUUUGGCGUUGAUGGCGGUCUAAGUUUCUUGGAACAGGACAUCACAGAGGGUGAGAAUCCCGUAUGUGGUCGCCGGUCUUCGCCGUGUAAAGCCCCUUCGAC
rnacentral:rRNA from 1 species